GAUGAAGAACGCAGCGAAAUGCGAUAAGUAAUGUGAAUUGCAGAAUUCAGUGAAUCAUCGAAUCUUUGAACGCACAUUGCGCCCGCCAGUAUUCUGGCGGGCAUGCCUGUUCGAGCGCCAUUUCAACCCUCAGGCCCCCAGUGCCUGGCGUUGGGGAUCGGCGCGGCGCCCUCCGGGGCGCUGCCGGCCCCGAAAUUCAGUGGCGGUCUCGCUGUAGCCCUCCUCCGCGUAGUAGCACAACCUCGCGGCCUGGAGCUCGGCGGUGGCCAUGCCGUAAAACACCCCACUUCUGAAAGUUGACCUCGGAUCAGGUAGGAAUACCCGCUGAACUUAAGCAUAUCAAUAAGCGGAGGA
rnacentral:misc_RNA from 1 species